UUAAUAGCAUUCCAGACUCACCGUCAUUCACCCCCCACCAUCACAACCCUCAUCUCCUCCUUGGAGGUAACCACAAUCCUGCUUCUAUGAUCAUUGUUUUCUUGCUUUUCUUACUUUUCUUAUUUUGCCCUUCAGAAAACCCUGAGCCAGGAGUCAUGACAACCAAGCCCAAGCUCUGCUACUUUUGUGGCAGGGGCAGGAUGGAGUCGAUCCGCUGGCUGCUGGCUGCAGCUGGAGUGGAGUUUGAAGAAGAAUUUAUUGAAACAACAGAACAAUAUGAGAAGUUGCAGAAGGACGGACGCCUGCUAUUUGGCCAAGUGCCUAUGGUUGAAAUUGAUGGAAUGGUGCUGACACAGACUAGAGCCAUCCUCAGCUACCUUGCUGCCAAGUACGACUUGUAUGGGAAGGACCUGAAGGAGACAGUCAGGAUCAACAUGUACGCUGACGGCACCCUGGACCUCAUGAUGAUGACCGCGCAGGCUGCGUUCAAACCCUCUGAGGAAAAAGAGGAGAAUCUUACUUUAAUCGUGAAGAAAGCUAAAACCCGUUACUUCCCCGCCUUUGAAAAGAUUUUGAAUGACCACGGAGAGGAUUUUCUCGUUGGCAACAAAUUCAGUUGGGCAGACAUACAACUGUUGGAAGCUAUUUUAAUGGUGGAAGAACUCGAUGCUUCUGUUCUUUCUGACUUCCCUCUACUGAAGUCCGAAGAGAAAUUUAUAGAAACUCCAAGAAGACUUGGGGAACUUAAAGAAUGAUGGAAGUCUGUAAGUUCCAGGGAUAUUUUAGGUGAAGACUUGAGAAAUGCAAACAAGGCCAGAGUUGGGCAACUGCAUAUGGACGGAGUGUGGAACUUGUGCUGUGGAAAAUAAUUGGAAAACCUGCUGACGUUGGGCACAUAAACAGGACAGAUAUGUACACAGAAGGUAUGGCAGAUUUGAAUGAAAUGAUCCUCGUUUUGCCUCUGUGUCCACCUGAUCAGAAAGAGGCCAAGAUUGCCCAGAUCAAAGAGAAAGUAACAGAUCGUUAUCUCCCCGUGUUU